GUUGGUGUAGCUCAGUGGUAGAGUGCAUGCUUGGUAUGUACGUAUAAUGUCCUGGGUUUAAUCCCAAGCUUCUCCC